UGGGCCCUAGGGAGGCCCAGCAGCAGCGCAGCCCGAAACGACCGGCCCGGGGCAACCAACCGGGGCACGAGGGUUUCCCCAGGCGCCGCCGCGGAGGUCGCCGCCGGGGCAGGACGAGGGCGGCGCGGCCAGGGCACGGCACGCCGGCCGGCCGGAGACAGGGAGGGAGCAGCCCCGAAGGAGGAAAUGAACGGGCGAAAGGGGGCUCUCCAGACAAGGAUGCCCGAGAGCGCGAGCGCCGCCGCCGGUGACUGGCCGGCCGGAGCAGAGGCGGAUGCCGCCAACGCGGGGGACCGCCAGGAGUCGAGCGCAGCACCGCGGUCGGCGCGGCCGGCAACGUCCCAGCCGCCAGCACGACGCUGCCGGGGAGGGGCCCGAGACCCCAAGGCGUCCCCUUUCGACCCAGGAGACGGCAGCGCGCCCGACGGCCGCCGGUGGCGCCGAUCGGUCCCGCGGGAGGCCGCUGGGAGUUCGGCCGCCGGCAGUGACGGAUGGAGGCGGCCGGACCGGAGCGCGGGGCGGGAUGCGGUCGCGGCAGGCGAUGGGGCGGCCCGCAGCCACAUCGGCAGCUUCGGCAAGGUCCGCCCAGGACUCGCGCGGAGGAACAGCCGGAGGAGACGGCGGGGAAUCGGGCGAGGGGGGCGCCGGCAGGCCGGCCGCGGGCGAGGCCAGGGGCGAGGGUGGCAGCGGCGGCGCCGCUGAGACGACCAGGGCGUCGCCAGAGCCAGCGCACGCGAGAGCCAUCCGCCAACGGGAGCGAAUCACAUGAGUUCAUUUCCAACAUCAUUUUCAACACCAUCUGGUAUGACUCUGUAAUCUCCACGCAGCAUGAGUAUGCGCUUGACUUUGAGGUGGACAUGAUAUGCACCAAUGCCCUUAUGCGAAUAGAGUGCUGCUCCCUCUAUGGCCUUAUCGCCUUCCUCCGUCGCCUCUUCCACCAUCUGACUGAGCAUGAUGCUAUCAAGUUCCUGCUCAAGAGCAAUGCUGAUGUUUGGUCAGCCAUCGACAUAGCAGAGCAACAUGGUCAUCAUAUGUCUGAUGUGUACCUCAAUGCCUUUAGGGAAGCAGCUGUUAAUUCAUGGCACCCUCACCCUAAAGCACUGGAGAAAUUCAUCCUGUCAGCCCUGAACAUGAAUUCGACUGAGUUGUCAACAAUGCUGACCCAUGCAGUCAAGAACUGCAGAUUUGAGGGACUCACCAUGUCUUUGUCACCCAAAUCUUCACCUACCAAGUCAGAUGAGCAGGUUCAACAACUGGAAAAGUUGGCCUCAAGCUCGGAGUUCUUAUCUGAAAACCAAAAAAUGUUCAUUUCAGAGAUUCAGAAAUUUUUUAAGGCUGACCAAAACUUCUAUGUCAGGAAGGUCAAAGCUGCGUUGAAGAGCUACUCCCAGAAACAAGGGGUCCAACAGCCCAAGCGUGUUUGGAUGGAAAUCCUGGGACCGUGCCUAUCCAUGGCGGCGACAAAGACGGCGGCCAGAUCUGGACUGCUCCCUGCUACGAGGAAGGAAGUGCCGCCGCUCCGUCUCCGGGUGGUGGCUGCUUUCAGUCCAGAGGAAGAAGGAAGGGUCGCUGCGGUUGCUCCCGGCGUCUUAGUUGAAAAGGCAAAUAACCUACCCCCUCUCCAAAUUUUCUUCUUCGAGUAAUCACUUUUCCAAUUUUUUAGGAUGCAAUUGCUUCAUGUACACAGCCUAUUUUGUGAUUGAUUAGUGAGAGUGCCUGGUAGCUUCAUGUACCGUGACCUAUUUUGCUUCUCCGUCGCGUGAUUGUCGCCACUUCUUUCUCUAAAUGCGAGGUCGUUUAUUCUUUAGAGGAAAUAGUCAAACAGAUGCGGUGUUGGGGCGGUGCUGAUCAAUGAGGAGCUACAUGGUGUGAGACACGCAGCACACACAUGUCCUGCAAGUGGCCGGACCUAUGCGUAUCGGUCGACAAUGGUGAGAUCAAACUGGUGUUAUGGAACUCUGUCCAGCAAACAACGUAUUUUCUCUUCGCAUGGCCUUUCCUCUGCCAGUCUGAAUCUGAAUUAUGUCUUUCUAUUUUACAAUGUGUUGGAAGUGUUUGAUGAAUUGUUAAGUUGCCAAUAGUUGAAUUCAUAUAGAAGAGUCUUACUAACGAAUUUGUUAAGUCUUUCAUGUACUGUGUUUCAAAACUGCAUUUGUAUUCACUAAGGACAUUCAUGUUUUCAACCAGCACUAGCGCUUUAGUUGUAUGACGUACGGUUUGUAACUAAACUGCAUACUGAUUGCACCUGGACAGUCGAAGUAUAACACAAUUUCAAGUUUCAAAUUGUGUCUUUCUUCUAAGAUUGUCACUACUUCUUUCUCUAAAUGCGAGGUCGUUUAUUCUUUAGAGGAAAUAGUCAAACAGAUGCGGUGUUGGGGCGGUGCCGAUCAAUGAGGAGCUACAUUGUGAGACAAGCAGCACACAUAUGUCCUGCAAGUGGCCGGACCUAGGCGUAUCGGUCGACAAUGGUACUUCACUAGAGAGGAGCGAUCUGCAAGAGUUGGCUGCUAUGUAUAUAUAUGUUACGGGCCAGCGCACAGAUUUUUUGCCGUCGAGAUCAACUUCCUACACACAAGUGAAUUACUUCUGGAGUUCAAUUGUUACUACAUUGAAGAGAAAUACGAUAGCAUCUAAUAAUCCACUAAGGUUGCUAGGCAAAACCAUGACAGCUACAAGAUGAAUUUUAAGCUCUAUAAAAAGAAUAUAUCAGAAGUGCAUGGAUCCUAUUCUUUACCUUUUUUAUUUGGCAUGUGGAGUUACCGACUUCAUAUUCUAUGUGGAUAUAAGGAUGGAUUUACUUGGGUCAGGCACACUUUGUUGUGGGGUUACGGCUACAAGGGGAUGCUUCAUCAGAGAUCAGGGUUGUUGGUACAAAAUAUGAGGUGACUAUUGGAAAUUUAUUCAGAUCAUUGUAACAGAAACUCAUCAAUUCCCUGCUAUUGAUUAUUUUCCGAAUUGGAGUAUGUGCCUAAUCACUGUUUUGUCUUUGUACCAUUAGAGCUUUACAGCCAUUUUAUUGGGGAUAAAAUGAAGUGAUAAACCUACAGUACUUGAAAAUAUUAUUUCCUUUGUGGAGAACAGACAAAAUGGGGAAAGGCCAUGGCAGCCACUGAAUUUUUUGCCAACUACUAGCUGUAAUCUGAGGAAUGUACCGCUUUUGUGAAAACUUCAUCUUAGAUAUAUGAAAGAAUAUUUCUCUAUAUGUAUAUUUCAGGUGGAAACCUGCAACUUUUAGGCCUAAUAUAUACUUUUCUUAAUGAAAGUUUGAUCGAACUAGGAACAACUAAUUAAUCAUGUUCUCUGCAUACGUGUGUCAUUCAUUAUAUACGUAUAUUAUACAUAUCUAAUGCAAUAUAAGAAAUCUUUAGAAUCUUGACAAGAACUUUGUUCCAGAAAGGACUAUGCUUCUUUCUCCUAUAUCUUAUAGGUUGAUUUUGUCAACUACGUAAAUUAAAUCUUCAUGCCCUAUGCCUCGGGUUUUAUGCUGUUCUAUCCAUUUCGAGAAAAUCUGUGGAAAUCCUAAUGUUCAGACCUAGCUAUGACAAAUAGUUCAUGUACUACUAUUUCCGUAGUCAUACUUCCCUAAGAGGACACAAAUCUAUACUCUGCCAAAUUGUAAUAAUCCUCAUAAGCGUACGACACUAUAUGUCAUCUUUGCAUAUUCAUUAUAAUACGUCUUUAAUAAUUUAUUUUUUUGUCAUUACCACAACUAGAGGUUGCUUAGCUUCUCCAACAUACUAUUUUCGAUGUGAUCAAACAUUUCAUGCCGUACAUGCCAUCUAAUGUAACUUCAUACAACAUGUUUUGCUUCUUCAGCACCCAUCUGCUCUUGCUGUUUGUGGAAUGGAAUUGUAUUUGGUUCAAAAUAAGAAAUUAUCACAUGUGAGAAGAAUAGUGCAGAGCAAAUAAAAUCACACUACCUUUUGCUUGAUGGUUCACCGUUAUAACUAAAUAUGACAAGGCAAAACUAUACACAUAUUUGUUUUUGUUUUGUAAGUACAAUUGUACGUGUUAUAUCUCACAUUAAUAUAUCUGUACAUGGAUUUCAUUUAUGGCUAUAUGUAUUUGUAGUGAUCGUAGAAGAAAUCAAAAGCCUUGAGGUUGUGAUGGUUUUAAAUAAUAUUCAUAUAUUUACAUAUUGUUAAUUAUAAAUUUGAAAACAUAUCUGCAGGAGCAAAGUGGUAAUAAGUUCUAACACUUAUGAAAAUUAUUUGUUUAUCGGCCAAUACUUAACUUUUAGUAUUGUAUUUUAGGAUCCAAAUUUUCAUAUAUUUCUAUCAACGUCAAAUCAGUAAGUUGUCAAGUUGUAGUUUGUCAUAAAUACUAAAGUGUAACAGCUAUUUCUGUCAAUUUGUGCAUAGUACAAUGUAAUUCAAAGGUCACCAAGUUACGCUAUAUAAUGUCGGUAAUAAGGAACUUCGUGAAAGACUAUAGUCAUUUUGUCCCAUGGAAAGUACUUGAUAACUUAAUAUGUCUCUAUAAUAAAUGUUUGAAUAUAUUUUCCUAUAUUCUUACGUAAAAACAUUUGUAAAAAGGAACAUACUUGAAGUGUAACUAUUAUGCAUCUUUUUUAAUGCUCCCUUCUCCUGUCUUGCUCUAUAUUGGUGCACUAUGAACUUCAAGUUAUUUGUGGUGUGAAUCCUCAGUGCGGUCAAGGGUGGAACUGCUGAUCUUUUUAAGAAAAAGGGCAAAUUUGAAUACUCUCUCAUCACCUUUUGGGCAACACGUGAGGGAUCAAAUUCUGCUGCCACAGAUCCAGUACUGUUCUUCGCUGAAUGCAGCAAUGAUGAUGAAGAUGACAAGGAAACACCUCCCCUGUGCGUCCCAGUAUUUAGUUCUUGGAUAUCUGAUGUUCGUUGCUUCCACUGUGAGUUUCUAGGGAAAAAAAUUGUUCACCCAUAUCAUGAAUCAUAUUAUGGGCGUUACGAGGACUUUGUUGGAAUGGCUCAUGGAGACCAUAGCAUUUGUAAUGAAGAAAUUAUCAGUGCAUGCGACUUCCAUGCUGAUAUGAUGUGCACAUUAAAAGAGGAUUGGAUCUUUUUUUAUCCCAACAUGGAUGCUAUGAUUGCUCGAGCGAAUCCCAUUAAGAAUUGGGCUACGGAGAUGCUGAAAUGGGAGAACAGAAUCUUUUGACAGUCAUGCUCGAUCUUUUUUUUUCUGAGAUAGAUCAGAUGGACUCUUGAAAUUGAGAUUCUUGAAGAGCUUUCCUGGGAGCACGCGUACAAGCUUAGUUAACAUUUGCUCGAACUGUUUAUUAUAUUCUUCCGUUGAAGUGUAUCUCAACUUCUUAAGUGUGGUGUUAGUUUGUCAACCAUGAUGCAAAUUAUCCUUGAUGCUACUCGAGUAUGUGGAUAUCUAAUGUCAGGUUUCCAUGUGGGCACUUCAUCACAAAGCUAUACAGAACAACAACAAUUUACA